AAUUGUCUGGAAUAUUUGCCAAUCUCCUAUUUUGAACCUACAAAAUAAAUACGGGAGUUCACACAUGCUGUGUAGAUAUGUACUUUCAGGAGGGCCAUAUGCCCAGUAAAGCGAUAGAAGCACGGUUGAGAACACCCACCUAUCGAGAGGUAGGUAGUCAAAAUUUGGAGAUAGCGGUAUUUUGGAUUUUAA
rnacentral:other from 1 species